UACGUAGGGGGCUAGCGUUGUCCGGAUUUAUUGGGCGUAAAGAGCGUGUAGGCGGCCAGGUAGGUCUGCUGUGAAAACUCGAGGCUCAACCUCGAGACGCCGGUUGAAACCAUCAGGCUAGAGUCCGGAAGAGGAGAGUGGAAUUCCCGGUGUAGCGGUGAAAUGCGCAGAUAUCGGGAAGAACACCCGUGGCUAAGGCGGCUCUCUAGUACGGUACUGACGCUGAGACGCGAAAGCGUGGGGAGCGAACAGG
rnacentral:rRNA from 1 species